rnacentral:lncRNA from 1 species
UUAGAAGAUCAAUUAUAUAUGUUGGGAUUUUCACAAAGACCAUGUGUAAAGUUACUAAAGUACCAUAGACUAUUUCUUCUUGCCCAUCCACCUUACAUCAGAGUCCAGCAUUGACCCAACCAACUCCAUGAGUCACUAGCCAGGCAUGCAACUUGACUACCGUCUGCUCAUCUCAGAUAAAAAUAUACAAGACUUCACAAGAUUAAACCCGACAAGUCAGGUACAUACAUGUAGAACGACCUACAUACUACAUAGAAGAGCAAUCUCAGCAUCAACCACAUCACAUGCCACCGUGCCACGGCAUACAUAAUAGAAGAAACUAGAGACUACACAGCAAGACAAUUUGAGCAUCAACUAGGCAUGUAUGUGCCUCGGCCAAAUAGAAGAGCUUCACUAGACCAACUAGCCAUGGCUGCAUCUCAGCAAAAUAGAAGAACUUCCCACGCCAACUAGCCAUGUCUGUGUCUCCGCAACCCGAAUUUAACUCUUAAUACCUGCAGAACAAUCAAGGUCAUCCCAGUCAAACAAAUUUAUAAUGCUCUCUCACAGCAGAACAAAUUUUGUAUGAUCCCCAAAAAUAAGCAUUAACUUUGCCGCAGUGCAGAUUAUACAAGAAAAUAUCCAAAGCUGAAUCGGCCCAGUACACAAGCUAAUACUACAAACAGAGAACAACAAUAAGGGAACAUUUAGUUUGUACUGCUACCUAUAUGCUUACAUGUUUUCAAGAUUCUUGCUACAUAACUACGUACAAUCACAGUAGAAACUAAGAGAUCGGUGACUCGCCGCCUAUCAUCUGGGGCAAAAAAACUGAAAUUCCAAGAUUGUCAAGUAAUUCCAGAUUUACUUUUGUGUGCGAAGCCAUGUGUAAGGCUCAGACAAAGGAGAAAUGGCUGGUAUCUCUACCCAAAGGCGUGCUUCUUGAAAAUGUAUCAAGGAUAGUAAAUGAAGCCAAAUAUACCGCUAGGUCCAAAAAAGAAUGGAAAUAUUGUUUACAUGUUCACAGAAAAUGCAUUUAUCCAGAAUUAUUGUCGAGUGAGUUUUGUGCCAGUUGUGACCAUAAGGCCAAAAUAAAAUAUGCACGGCUUGGAAAACCAGAGUUCCAUAACAAGUAUUACAUAGUACUACGUGAAAUUAAUGAACUAGUACUACUCUUCGAUAAAAAUUAGACCACAUGGUAUUAUGAAUUGACGAUUUCUAUGAAGAUCAAUCAAGUAAAAUUUUAAACUUGCAAGGAAAAAAAUAAUGAAUAAGAAAACAUAACAAGCUUCAAGCCGCCUCCAGAUGUUCCGAUUUCUCAAAUACUUCAGAUGGUUUCACUACUGCAGCUAUUGCCACUUCCCAAUUUUUGGUACACCUCUGAUAAAAAGAUCAUUACAAGCACACAGUUGUAUUUAGCCUUUAGCAAUGGCCAGGCAUCAAAGCAAUAUUUGUAUUCCUGCUCUAGAUUUAAUGGAGCUCUAUAAUAACAAGAAAUUAGAUAACCAUAAGAUGACCAGAUCAACAGAGGAACAAAUAAGACAACAUAUUUUUAUGUAUCUAGCUCAAUCCUAAUAAUAGGAACAAUGUUACCGCAAUAACGUACCAAAAGUAACUGGAACAAAUACGAGCCAAACAAACUAAAUGGACUUUUUUUGCUUGUGCAAUGUAGAUAGGGCGUGUUACCUGCAGUAUAGAAAUUCCUGUAGGGAUAAAAGGUGUCAAGACAUAUGUUGUUUCUUUUAACAAUAUGUUUGAUCUCCAUCGAGUCAACUUGGAGUGUGAAGUUGCCGGUUAUAGUAGUGAGAACAAUCACAUUUGCAUCCUCAUCAUACCCAACGAAAAGUGAAGAAUCCAUUCUCCUUGGAACCAUACCCUCGAGUGGAAUGGUUUUCUGCAGCAGCACCCAUUCGAAAACACCAUCGCAGUUAGAUUUCCUCUCCCAUAAUUUGAUAGUCAGGUCCAACAAAAUAGCAAGACCUAGUCCAUCAUUCUCCAUCCGUAAGAGCUGAAAAUACCAGUCGUCGGUACCAUGGUUUUCUACCGGCUUUUCGAUCAGACCAAGACUUUGCAUUUCGAAAUCAAACAUAAGGACAUCACCUCCAGAAAUCAACAAGCAAAGUGCAUUCCCGACAAGGGUGCUGGGCCUUCUUAACCUAGACAUUCCAGCUGUUAUCGUCAUCGUUGAGAAAAUAUCUCCCCAAACAUCAGACGCCGAGUCGUAGACAGAACAAACUGCCGGUGUAUUGUACUCAGCGCAGACCAAAACCAAUUUAAAUGCCCAUCUUCAGCAUUGACGCACAAUACAGUGCCAUGCCAGCCACUGUAACUCCACAUUAAGGUACUGUUGAACCCUGGUGGAAAAGCCACGAUGCGCUCUUCACCGGUGAGGGGAUCCCACACGACGGUCUCGCGCUUAUGAAUGUUGAUUAAGAGAGAGAGGCCAUGGCGGCAGCCCAUGUAUGCUUCAUCGGUGUGGUAGGGUAUGCUGCUCUUGGGCAGGGAGAAGCGGGCAGCAGGGAUGCGGUCAGGUGAGUCCAUGGCAGGAAUGAAGUUUUUAGCAUACCCUCUGAAGAAACCGAGCAGAGGAGGUUUCCUGUGGUGCUCGCGGAAGCGUUUGAGGAACUGGGGGUCGGAGAGGAUGCUGCCCCAGCGCUUGCAUACGACAGACGCACGGGGGAGCGAGGAUGGCUUCGGAGGGAGGCGGACGAGGAUCUCGAUGAGGAGGUUGUCGUAGCCAAGCACCUUGGACACCGGGCCGGCCAGCGGCACAGUACGCGGCCGCCUCUUCCGGUCCACACGCGGCGAGCUGGGAAUGGGAUCGGCCCUGGUAUGAAUAGAAAUGUAAUCAAUGGACACACAUGUGCACAUCAGGGAAGUUGCAAAUUAAACAUCCAACAUACAUAUGCACAUCCAUGAUCAAUAGAAUAGCAUAGCAUACAACGAGUAAUGAUGAAUCAACUGGUUUCUCCCAUUAUCCCACACACAUAUGCACAUCCAUCGAGCAUAUACCAUACACAAAGUAAGUGCCGCACUCACACAUAUGUUACAUCCAUCCAGCAUAUAUAAUAGCAUACACAAAGUAAUGCAGAGGGAAAGGAACUGGAUUGGGAAUCUUACCCUUGGCCUUGGGGAACCUCAGC